rnacentral:rRNA from 1 species
UACAGAGGUCCCAAGCGUUGUUCGGAUUCAUUGGGCGUAAAGGGUGCGUAGGUGGCGUCGUAAGUCGGGUGUGAAAUUUCGGAGCUCAACUCCGAAACUGCAUUCGAUACUGCGGUGCUUGAGGACUGGAGAGGAGACUGGAAUUUACGGUGUAGCAGUGAAAUGCGUAGAGAUCGUAAGGAAGACCAGUGGCGAAGGCGGGUCUCUGGGCAGUAACUGACGCUGAGGAGCGAAAGCGUGGGGAGCGAACAGG